GAUGAAGAACGUAGUGAAAUGCGAUACGUAAUGUGAAUUGCAGAAUUCAGUGAAUCAUCGAGUCUUUGAACGCACAUUGCGCCCCCUGGCAUUCCGGGGGGCAUGCCUGUCCGAGCGUCAUUUCUGCCCUCCAGCCCGGCUGGGUGUUGGGCGCUGUCCCCCCGGGGACACACCCCAAAGGCAGUGGCGGCGCCGCGUCGGGUCCUCGAGCGUAUGGGGCUUUGUCACCCGCUCGGGACGGACUCGUCGGCGCUGGUCUUCCUCCAGGCGACCCUUCGGGGCUCGUCUUCCUUCGGUUGACCUCGGAUCAGGUAGGGUUACCCGCUGAACUUAAGCAUAUCAAUAAGCGGAGGA
rnacentral:misc_RNA from 1 species